AAAGACAUAGUAAAAUUUUAUUUUAUAUAUCUGCCCAAUGAAAAAUUUUUUAUGGCUUUAAAGUAGCGAAAUAAUUAGUUUAUUAAUUGUAAACCAGUAUGAAGACAGCAUUAGAAAUAAACAUUUAAUCUUAUUUUUUGAAUUUUAGAUAUUAGUAAAAACGCUAAUAUAUCCCCUGAAGACGAUAAGACCCUAAGACCUUAACUUAGUUUAGCUGGGAUAGCUUAUGAAAAAUAAUAAAUUUAAUUUAGUUAUUUAAAACCAAUUUUUUUGCUUCACUAUAGGUACCUUAGGGAUAACAGCGCGAAAUAUUUUUAAAGCCCUUAUUUAAAAAAUAUUAGUGACCUCGAUGUUGAAUUAAGUAAUUUAGGGCUGCAGAAGGUCCUAUUUUAAGUCUGUUCGACUUAUCGUACUUACAUGAUUUGAGUUAAGAUCGACGUAAGCCAGAUUGGUU
rnacentral:rRNA from 1 species